rnacentral:tRNA from 1 species
AUUAGGAUGGCAGAGUUAGUGCAUGGGAUUUAAGAUCCUAACAGGAAAUAUUUUAUAUUUCUUCUAAUA